rnacentral:rRNA from 1 species
GACGAACGCUGGCGGCGUGCUUAACACAUGCAAGUCGAACGGAAAGGCCCCUUUGGGGGUACUCGAGUGGCGAACGGGGGAGUAACACGUGAGUAACCUGCCCUUGACUUCGGGAUAACUUCAGGAAACUGGGGCUAAUACCGGAUAGGAAUCCUUGCUGCAUGGUGGGGGUUGGAAAGCUUCGGCGGUUUUGGAUGGACUCGCGGCUUAUCAGCUUGUUGGUGGGGUAGUGGCUUACCAAGGCUUUGACGGGUAGCCGGCCUGAGAGGGUGACCGGCCACAUUGGGACUGAGAUACGGCCCAGACUCCUACGGGAGGCAGCAGUGGGGAAUAUUGCACAAUGGGCGGAAGCCUGAUGCAGCAACGCCGCGUGCGGGAUGACGGCCUUCGGGUUGUAAACCGCUUUCAGCAGGGGCGAAGCUUGUGGUGACGGUACCUGCAGAAGAAGCACCGGCUAACUACGUG